rnacentral:misc_RNA from 1 species
AUAUUUGUGCGAGUUAACGCAAGGUACAUUCUGAUACUUCAUUGGGGUAUGUUAAGGGUUGCAUGCGAGCCUCCGAUCUCUCUUCGGCUCGCACACUUGGUUCACAAAGGGGUGGAAUAGAGAAGGGACACACAUCCAGCCGAGCACGUCCCAUUGCUGGGCAGCAUCAGACCGAACAUGCAUUCCGAGCUUCGCUAAUGAUCCUUCCGCAGGUUCACCUACGGAAA